rnacentral:rRNA from 1 species
AUAUCAGUCAUGCAUAGCAUAUCAAUAAGCGGAGGAAAAGAAACUAACAAGGAUUCCCUUAGUAACGGCGAGUGAAGCGGGAAGAGCUCAAAUUUGAAAUCUUCGAGGUUUUACCUUGACGAAUUGUAGUUUAAAGAAGUGUUUUCUGUUGAAGUUUUGGUAAAAGUUCUUUGGAAUAGGACAUCAUAGAGGGUGAGAAUCCCGUAUUUGACCAUUACUUUCAGCUUUGUGAUACACUUUCAAAGAGUCGGAUUGUUUGGGAAUGCAGUCCAAAAUGGGUGGUAAAUUUCAUCUAAAGCUAAAUAUUGGCGAGAGACCGAUAGCGAACAAGUACCGUGAGGGAAAGGUGAAAAGAACUUUGAAAAGAGAGUUAAACAGUACGUGAAAUUGUCAAAAGGGAAGCGUUUGACACCAGUGUUGUUUUCUCGAAAAUCAAUUAAAAAGAGUUGGAUUUUGUGUUGUAUUGACUUUAUCAGGCUUUCUUCACUCUUUUCCAGCUUUUUUUAAUGCACUUUUCGUUUAACAAGUCAACAUCAGUUUCUUUUGUUGUAAAAAGGUCAUUGGAAGGUGGCUUUCUCUUCGGAGAAAGUGUUUAUAGCCUUUGACUCAUGCAAUCGGAGAGACUGAGGUCUGCAGCGUAGAUCCUUCGGGGUUAGAUACAUUUGUGCUAAGUUAUAGCUUUUCAUAGACAACUUGUUGACUAUGUUUAGUCUUGUAGCUUACUCGCUUAUGCUAUUUUACCUACGCUUAGGAUGUUGAACUCUAUCACACACAG